GAUGAAGAACGUAGCGAAAUGCGAUAAGUAGUGUGAAUUGCAGAAUUCCGUGAAUCAUCGAAUCUUUGAACGCACAUUGCGCCUUCUGGUAUUCCGGAAGGCAUGCCUGUUCGAGAGUCAUUAACAACCGUUUCGAUCCCUUUCUUUCAGAAAUUACAAAGAGGAAAAGGGUUUGGUUAUGGUGGAGGAGGGAAAGGGAGCGUCUAGCCUGUAAAAAAAGAGGCUGUGUUCCGCCUCCCCCCCAAAAUUGUACAGGCGGUCGUGUGCGCCCACGCAUCGAGGUGUUGUAAAAGCUGCCACGGCACUUUUCACCUGUGCAGUGCGAGAUUGGCCAGCCGGUUUAAAAACCCCUCCAAACAAUCAAAGGUUGACCUCGGAUCAGGUAGGGAUACCCGCUGAACUUAAGCAUAUCAAUAAGCGGAGGA
rnacentral:misc_RNA from 1 species